UAGUCCGGAUUGCAGUCUGCAACUCGACUGCAUGAAGUCGGAAUCGCUAGUAAUCGCGGAUCAGCAUGCCGCGGUGAAUACGUUCCCGGGUCUUGUACCACACCGCCCGUCAAACAAUGGGAGUGGUGUUUACCAGAAGUCGUUAGCCUAACCGCAAGGAGGGCGGCGACCACGGUGAGCACCGUGACUAAUGUUAAGUCGUAACAAGGUACC
rnacentral:rRNA from 1 species